CCCACAGAGUUAGAGUUACAGAGACUGCUCAGCAGUUGACAGAGGUGAGUGGAACAGAACUAUGUUUUAAAGUUAAUGAAUGUUUUAGCAUGAUUUCAUGCAUCACUAAUGCCAUGCUAUGUAGGAUGUUUGCAUUGCAUUAGUAUUCACUAAGUUGAUGCAUUGCAUUAUUUGAUGUUGAUGUGGAUUGGACCGAGGCGACCCCAAUAGCCCUAUGGAAAGACCUGGCUGGGCCAGGCAUAGUGAAAGACCUGUGUGAGCUCCUUGAGGGGGGCCGGGCAUUAUACUUGGGUGAGUCCUGUGAAAGCCCUUUCAGGGUCGGGCACCAUGAGCUUAGGGAGUUUUGGUGGUCAUGUCCAAUCCUUGAUGUGAAAUGUUUGUGCUGUGAUGCAUUUCAUGAUAGCAUGUUUUAAAUGUUUUGAUGGUUUCUGCUCACUGGGCUCUAGUAGCUCAUCCCUCUCCCUAACCCCAUGUUUCAGGGCCUCAGAGAAGAGAAAGAGAAAGAGAAAGCAAGGGUAAAAGCAUAUGUAAUAGCAUAGAGUAGUGGACAUGAUGUACAGUACAGAGUUUAUGUAAUGUAUAGUAAUGAUGUAAUAAGUUAUGUUAUGUACUGAGUUAUAGAAUUGUGCUUGGCCCUAGUGUAUGUUUCUCCCUUUGUACAUGAUCAUUUCUUUUAUGUCAUGUUUUAUGAUGUUAUGAUGAUGAGAGCUAGGUUCGGUGCAUGGUAGUAUAACCCAUCUAGAGCAUAUGAUGAGGACUCUAGUGAGGGGUUUCUAUCUCUGUAGUUACUCUAUGGUACCACAGCAGGUAUCACUCUUUGAGUGCAUACAGACAGAGCAUGCAUAGUCCAAACUUAGUGUAUGAGAAAGAAAAGAAAGUAAAGACACAAAAGAAAAAGAAAAGAAAGAAAAAAAAAAAGUUUACAGUUUUAUGCUUAAGUAUGAUCAUGUAUGGGAUUUAGCAGGUACACAGAGUUCAGUCUAGGCUGACUACGGGUCUAGGCGGCCUUAAGCUGAUCUGGAUCCUAGUGCCAGUGGCGGUCCGGUAAGCGGGCUGUUACAGAUUGGUAUCAGAGCAUAGGGCCUCUAGAGUACGGUGUGCUGAGCUAAGAUGCUCAGGGAUUAGAGAUAUCUCACAUCGGAAAGAGGUUGUCCUAGAGGGCAAGCACAAUAGGAAGAUCAUGUCCACUAGGAUAGGAUGUUGAGUCCUGUCUAUAUGAUGAUGUGUAAUGCCAUGAUUUUAUGCAUGUGCAUUUAAUGAUAUGUUAUGAUAUGCUAUGCUAUGCUAUGAGUUGAGGGUUCAUGUUUUUACAUGGAUCAUAUGCUGAUGUUUAUGUAUAUGUUAUGUUUUCAGAAGUUAAGAUGAGAGGAUCCCGUCGAUCAGCUAGAUUGACUGGAGCUCCGCCCGAGAAUGAGGGUAUGGAGGGUCGUCCCCCUGCUUUGCCAAGAACUAUGUCCCAAAGAGCAGGCAGAGAAAGAUCAUCAAGGGACCCUAGAAGGUCUUUUGAUGAAGGCAGGAGGGAGACAGAACAGAGAAGAAGAUCUAGUGAUACAAGGGAAGAGAUGGAUGUGGAUCCAAGAAGGGAUGGAGGGUUAGGUUUUGGCACUACAGAGGAGGAUGUGGGAUCAUCACAAGGAGGCGGUCAGGCCUCGGGGUAUGGUUAUACACCCCACUAUCAGCCCUACCCACAGGGCCCAGGAUAUUCAAUGGGAGGUACAUCGGAGUAUCCUAGUUUUCACCCAUAUCCCACAUAUAUGCCUUAUCCACCUUUUUACCCCCCAUAUCCACCAUAUCCCAUGUAUCCACCCUCACCUUUUUACCCCAGUCCAGCACACCCUACAUCAGGGAGUUCUGCACCCCCUCCACCACCACCAGUGGUAGAACCAGUAGCCCCAGUUACAUCUCAACCUGGCCCAUCUGAGAGGAGCAGGGUAAAGAUGACUGAUUACCUAAAGCUAGAUGCUCCUAAGUACCAAACUGGAGAUGAUCCAUUUGAGUACAUCAAAGCAGUUAAGAUGAUAGCAGAUGAGCUAGGGGCAGAUGAUACCAGAGCCAUUCAGAUGGCAGGGUUCACUUUAAAAUGCAAGAAAGCUAAAGAGUGGUUUAGCGAGUAUGUGGACCCUAGACUGGAUAGUAUGUCUUGGGAGGAGUUUGCUAACGAGUUUGCUGGAUGGGCGUUCCCAGAUAGCUCAAGAGAGCUAAAGAUGAUAGAGUUUGAGCAGCUCAAGCAGACAGAUGAGAUGAGUAUAAAUGAGUUUACUGACAGGUUUUUGGAGUUGCUGCGGCAUGCAGGACAGGCCUAUGAUACUGAUCGGAAAAAGGCUAGGAGGUAUGCUAUGAAACUGCAUUCCAGAUAUUCCUCCUUGAUCCAUGCAGCCGAGAGGGAGAGUUUCCACACCGUGGUGGAUUUAGCACGGAGAAUGGAGGCAAGUGCCAUUGUACAGGGUAUAGUGAAACAGCAGGCGGCACAGGCCUCAGGUUCUAAGACCCCAGGCAGGGGUAAGUCAGAUCCCUCUUCACAGGGUGCAGCAGCUUCCAGUGGUAAGAAGUGGAGUGGUUCCACUCAGAAGCAGAAGAAGAGUAAGUUCUGGAAUAAGAUUAAAUCAGGUCUGGGAUUGGGCAGUGGCAUGAGUUCAGGCUCAGAGUUGCCAGUAUGUACGAGGUGCGGUAAGUCGCACAGGGGAGUUUGUCGGGCUAGGAUGACAGGAUGUUAUAGGUGUGGCCAGGAGGGACACAUGGCUCGUGAGUGCCCUCAGGCAUCUUUCACGGCACCAUCCCAUCAGACAGCCCCAGCUAGCAUGCCACAGCCAUCAGCUCCCGUUAUGACACAGGGCAGAGGAAGAGGGAGAGGGUCAGCCUCUUCAUCUGCAGGUCCCAGAGGUGGAGGUCCGUCAGCCCCGGCGCGGAUUUUCACGAUGACACAGUAGGAGGCAAACACUUCUAACACCGUGCUGUCAGGUAAUCUCCUCAUUGGGUGUACUGAGGUGUAUGCUUUGUUAGACCCUGGUGCUUCUCAUUCCUUUGUUGCUCCCAGAGCUAUAGAGAGAGUGGGUUUGAUGACGUCUGGGUUAGAGUGUCCCCUAUGGGUCAGUGGACCCAAGUGUGAUCCAUCAUUGGCAGAGACAAUCUGUCGACAUAGUCCAGUGUUUAUAGAUGGCAGAUGCCUUCCAGCUGACCUUGUGGUUCUAGAGUUGACAGAUUUUGACGUCAUUCUAGGGAUGGAUUGGCUAUCUGCAUAUGGUGCUACCUUGGACUGCAGAGACAAGGUAGUCAAAUUCAGAGAUGAGGAUGGAUCUGAGUUUGUCUUUAGAGGAGACAGAAGGGGCAUGCCUAGAGGUCUGAUAUCAGCCCUACAAGCUCGUAGGUUGCUCAGGAGGGGAUGUCAGGGGUAUCUGGCUCAUGUGAGAGAGCUAGACAGUCAGGUUAGGGACCCCAGCUCAGUGCCCGUAGUCAGAGAAUUCCCAGAUGUGUUUCCAGAUGAGCUUCCAAGACUACCACCUGAUAGGGAAAUAGAGUUCGAGAUAGAGUUAGUGCCUGGUACCAGACCGAUCUCUAUUCCUCCCUACAGGAUGGCACCAGCAGAGCUUAAGGAGUUGAAAGAACAGCUACAGGAGUUGGUAGAUAAGGGUUUCAUCCGACCGAGUACCUUACCCUGGGGUGCUCCUGUGCUGUUUGUGAAAAAGAAGGAUGGAUCCCUUAGACUUUGUAUCGACUACAGGCAGUUGAACAAAGUCACUACCAAGAAUAAGUAUCCUCUACCCAGGAUCGAUGAUCUAUUCGACCAGCUAGCAGGAGCAGGUUGUUUUUCGAAGAUAGAUCUGAGAUCGGGUUAUCACCAGCUGAGAAUCAGGGAAGAGGAUGUGCCUAAGACAGCUUUCAGGACCAGAUAUGGGCAUUAUGAGUUCCUAGUGAUGCCGUUCGGGUUGACUAACGCCCCUGCAGCAUUCAUGGAUCUCAUGAAUAGAGUUUUCAGAGAGUACCUGGAUCACUUUGUUAUUGUCUUCAUAGAUGAUAUCUUAGUGUAUUCCAGGAAUGCAGAGGAGCAUGCCCAACAUCUGAGGAUAGUCCUGCAGACACUGAGAGAGCACGGCUUAUAUGCUAAGUUCUCCAAGUGUGAGUUCUGGCUAAGGAGCAUUUCAUUCUUGGGCACGUGGUGUCAGACCAAGGAAUAGCAGUAGACCCCAAGAAGAUAGAAGCUGUAGCCAACUGGCCUACACCCACCACAGUGACAGAGGUCAAGAGUUUCUUGGGUUUGGCAGGCUACUACAGGAGGUUCGUUUAGGACUUCUCCAAGAUAGCGGCUCCUAUGACCAGAUUAACUAGAAAGAAUCAGAGAUUCACAUGGUCUGACCAAUGUGAAGAGAGCUUUGAAGAGUUAAAGAGAAGAUUAACUUCAGCACCGGUGUUGGCUCUGCCUACUAGUGAUGAGGAUUUCACAGUGUUCUGUGAUGCAUCCCGAGUGGGACUAGGUUGUGUGUUAAUGCAGAAUGACAGAGUAAUAGCUUAUGCUUCUAGACAGCUGAAGAAGCACGAGCUGAACUACCCGACACACGAUCUAGAGAUGGCAGCUGUUAUCUUUGCACUCAAGAUGUGGAGGCAUUACCUCUAUGGGGUGAAAUGUGAGAUCUUUACGGAUCAUAAGAGCCUACAACACAUCCUGAGUCAGAGAGAGUUAAACUUGAGGCAGAGACGGUGGGUAGAACUGCUCAGUGACUACGAUUGCAAGAUCCAGUAUCAUCUGGGAAAGGCAAAUGUAGUAGCCGAUGCCUUGAGCCGGAAAUCACUAGGCAGUUUAUCCCACAUUAUAGCAGAGAGAAGGCCGGUGGUGAAGGACUUCUACAGGUUAGUUGAGGAAGGGCUACAGUUAGAAUUAUCUGGUACAGGUGCUUUGAUUGCACAGAUGAGAGUCACACCCGUGUUUCUGGAGCAGGUGGCUCAGAAACAGCACGAGGACCCGGAGUUGGUCAAGAUUGCCAGGACUGUUCAGUCUGGUAAGAGCGAAGAGUUCAGAUUCGACGACCAAGGGAUUCUCCGCUACGGGAACAGACUAUGUGUACCAGAUGAUAUCAGUUUGAAGGGAGAUAUUAUGAGGGAAGCUCAUAAUGCUCAAUAUAGCAUUCACCCUGGAGCCACCAAGAUGUACCAAGAUCUAAAACGAGUGUAUUGGUGGCCAGCCAUGAAGAGAGACGUGGCACAGUUCGUGUCAGCCUGCGAGAUAUGUCAAAGGGUGAAGCUAGAACACCAGAAGCCGGCUGGAAUGCUUAACCCACUACCGAUUCCAGAGUGGAAAUGGGAGAACAUAGCCAUGGAUUUUGUAGUGGGAUUACCGGCGACGUCCAACAGACUAGACUCCAUCUGGGUGAUUGUGGAUAGACUGACGAAAUCUGCUCACUUCAUUCCUGUCAGGAGUGGCUAUUCUGUGGACAAAUUAGCGCAGGUAUAUGUUGAGGAAGUUGUGAGGUUGCAUGGGGCUCCUAUUUCAAUAGUGUCUGACAGAGGACCCCAGUUCACCUCUAGGUUUUGGCGGAGUCUGCAAGAGGCUAUGGGCACAAGGUUAGACUUCAACACUGCUUUCCGUCCACAGACUGACGGAUAGUCAGAGAGGACCAUCCAGACCAUUGAAGAUAUGCUUAGAAUGCGUGUGCUAGAUUUUGGCGGUUCUUGGAGGCAGCAUCUACCGUUAGUGGAGUUUGCCUACAAUAACAGUCAUCAUGCUAGCAUAGGGAUGGCUCCAUAUGAAGCUCUAUAUGGGAGGAAGUGCAGGUCACCAGUUUGUUGGGAAGAGGUUGGAGAAAGGUCCCUAGCAGGGCCUGAGUUGGUUGAGAUCACCAACAGAGUGGUGCCCAUCAUCAGAGAAAGACUCAAGACUACUGUUAGUCGGCAGAAAAGCUAUGCAGACAUCCGUAGGAAGCACAUAGAGUUUGAGGAGGGGGAUCUGGUCUUGCUGAAGGUGUCUCCAAUGAAAGGGGUGGUUCGUUUUGGGAGGAAAGGUAAACUGGCUCCACGGUACAUUGGGCCUUUCGAGGUUUUGCAGAAGGUCGGAAAUGUGUCGUACAAGCUAGAUUUGCCUACUUCUAUGGAAAGAAUCCAUCCGGUCUUCCAUGUUUCGAUGUUAAGGAAGUUUGUGUCAGAUCCGGGUAAGGUUCUUAGUGAACCAGAUGUAGAGAUCCUAGGAGAUCUCACCUAUGUAGAGCAACCAGUGCGGAUCAUUGACACCCAGAUCAAAAAGCUAAGGAACAAGGAGAUCCCGAUGGUAAAAGUCCUCUGGAACCACCAUAACUUAGAAGAGUGCACCUGGGAGACACGGGAGUCUAUGCUCCACCAGUACCCCUAUCUCUUUUAAGGUUAGUUUUAGUUAGUUUUGAGUUCUUUAUGUGCUUUAUGUUUUGUUGUUUUGCAUGAGUUAGAGCAGGAACAUUCGGGGACGAAUGUUCUUAAGGGGGGGAGAAUGUAAUACCCGGCUAGACCCCGGUAUCAGAAUUCCUACGUUCCGGCGGAUUUUCCGUUGGAAUCCGGGAUUCGAGGAUGUCGGAGCCUGCCCUAAGGGUAUAAGAGAGGUUUUUAAAAUGUUUUUACAUGUUUGUUCAUGUUUUGAAUGGUUUUAAGUUGAGGAAAUUGAGUUUUGGAAAGGAAAAGACCAAGGGGACAAAAGCCAGGUUCGGCCGCCGAAGGUGAAGUUCAGCCGCCGAAAGUUGCAUGGUUUUGCAUGCACGUUAGGCCGCCGAAGGAGAGGCGGUUGGCCACUACAAAAGGGCCUUUGACCAAAAAUUUGGGUGUUGAACACCCUGUUUUUGAGCCAAAGGUAGGCUCAUGCUCUCCUUGGUAUGAUUUCUCAUGUUUUCCUCAAAUCUUGCAUGUUUUAACAUGUUUUUAGCUUUGUUUUAGAGUUUUGAGCAAAAGGAAGAAAGUUGAGCAACUUGGAGACUUUGAUUAGUUUUCCACCACAUCUCCAAGUUUGGACCAGCAAUCCUCUCGUUCUUCAAGAGGUAAGCAUGGAUCCUCACCUCCCCUUAUGUUUAAAGUAUGUUUUAAGAGGUUUUAGAAAGUUUUGAGGUAUAGUUGUUGGUGGAACUUUGAGUUGAGCAUAUGUUGAUCAUAUGCUAUUUGAUGUUGUUUAUGGGGUUUGAGUUAGUUUAUAGGCCCCUUUAUGCAUGAGAUAUGUUAUGUGUUAGUUGAGAAGUGUUGGUAUGCAUGUUAUGGGUGUUUUAUAGGUUUUUGGAGGCUAGAACCCUGAGUUGAGUUGGGAUUCUGCCUUUCUGGAGAAUCCAGGUUCGGCCGCCGAAGGAAGGUUCGGCCGCCGAACCCCUUGUGGAGGCAGUUUCGGCUGCCAAACCUCGCCCCCGAAAUAUUGGACUUUCGUCUCUGGAGGGGGGGUUCGGCCACCGAACAUGCCGCCGAAGGAGGGUGAGUUUCGUCUCUGGAGAAGGACUUUCGGCCGCCGAAAGUGCCUGAGUUUCGUCUCUGGAGCCGACUUUCGGCCGCCGAAGGUGCCGCCGAAAGUGCCCUGUCUAGCCUUCCUUUGCCCAUUUUUUCAUGCAUGCUUAUGAUGUUUUAGAGGGGUUUUGGGGAGAUAUUAAGAGUUAUGUUAAAGUAUGUUUGGUCCUCAUUUGAGUCCACCUGUGUAGGUGCGGACUCGAGAGACCAAGGAGGCCCACAGAGUUAGAGUUACAGAGACUGCUCAGCAGUUGACAGAGGUGAGUGGAACAGAACUAUGUUUUAAAGUUAAUGAAUGUUUUAGCAUGAUUUCAUGCAUCACUAAUGCCAUGCUAUGUAGGAUGUUUGCAUUGCAUUAGUAUUCACUAAGUUGAUGCAUUGCAUUAUUUGAUGUUGAUGUAGAUUGGACCGAGGCGACCCCAAUAGCCCUAUGGAAAGACCUGGCUGGGCCAGGCAUAGUGAAAGACCUGUGUGAGCUCCUUGAGGGGGGCCGGGCAUUAUACUUGGGUGAGUCCUGUGAGAGCCCUUUCAGGGUCGGGCACCAUGAGCUUAGGGAGUUUUGGUGGUCAUGUCCAAUCCUUGAUGUGAAAUGUUUGUGCUGUGAUGCAUUUCAUGAUAACAUGUUUUAAAUGUUUUGAUGGUUUCUGCUCACUGGGCUCUAGUAGCUCAUCCCUCUCCCUAACCCCAUGUUUCAGGGCCUCAGAGAAGAGAAAGAGAAAGAGAAAGCAAGGGUAAAAACAUAUGUAAUAGCAUAGAGUAGUGGACAUGAUGUACAGUACAGAGUUUAUGUAAUGUAUAGUAAUGAUGUAAUAAGUUAUGUUAUGUACUGAGUUAUAGAAUUGUGCUUGGCCCUAGUGUAUGUUUAUCCCUUUGUACAUGAUCAUUUCUUUUAUGUCAUGUUUUAUGAUGUUAUGAUGAUGAGAGCUAGGUUUGGUGCAUGGUAGUAUAACCCAUCUAUAGCAUAUGAUGAGGACUCUAGUGAGGGGUUUCUAUCUCUGUAGUUACUCUAUGGUACCACAGCAGGUAUCACUCUUUGAGUGCAUACAGACAGAGCAUGCAUAGUCCAAACUUAGUGUAUGAGAAAGAAAAGAAAGUAAAGACACAAAAGAAAAAGAAAAGAAAGAAAGAAAAAAAAAAGUUUACAGUUUUAUGCUUAAGUAUGAUCAUGUAUGGGAUUUAGCAGGUACACAGAGUUCAGUCUAGGCUGACUACGGGUCUAGGCGGCCUUAAGCCGAUCUGGAUCCUAGUGCCGGUGGCGGUCCGGUAAGUGGGCUGUUACAUCUCAAGUAUGGAGUCAUCCAAGUUGGGCUCUGUUCCAUCUGUAGUAUCGUGUUUGUCUUUUUGAAAGCAGGUGUAUGGACAUACUGUAUGUACACUUCAUCGGGAAGCUGUUCUAACUCCUCUUUGGUCAAUCGACUAAGCAGGUCUGCUUCCUCAUUUUCAUCUCGAGGUAUUCUCUGAAAUCUGAUGAUGGCUCCUCGACUUGUGAGCUCGGCUUCUAAGGUUUUUACUUUGUCAAGAUAAUUCUGCAUGAUGGGAUCUCUGGCCUGAUAUACUCCCGUCACCUUGUUGAUCACCAGUUGAGAGUCACUAUUGACCUCGAGGUCGGUUACCCCUACUUCCAAAGCUACCAACAUCCCAUUUACCAGGGCUUCAUAUUCGGCUACAUUAUUAGAAGCCUUGAAUUCUAAACGUAAGGCGUAACACACUUUAAAAUCCUCUGGCCCUUUAAGCAUUAUUCCAGCGCCACUGCCUUCAAUGCCUGAUGCUCCAUCUACAUACAGCUUCCAGUUAAAUUCUUGGGAAGGCUCUCCCUCUCCCCCUUUUCUUGAUAUUUCUGAGGAUGAUCCUUCCUUCUCCUCAUUGAAUGUGCACUCUGCUAUGAAGUCAGCCAGAGCUUGAGAUUUUAUAGUCGUUCGGGGUCGAUACUCUAAACAGUAAGGGCUGAUUUCUACGGACCAAGCCAACAUCCGCCCUGAAGUUUCCGGCCUGCGUAGAAUCUUCUUUAAGGGUUGGUCUGUCAUCACAACUCCUUGGUGGCCUUCCAAAUAAACUUUGAAUUUCCGGACUGCUAACAAUAGGGCAUAAGCCAAUUUUUCGAUAUUUGAAUAUCUGACCUCGGUAUCUCUAAGCACCUUGCUGACGUAGAAAACCGGUUUUUGCUCCCCUUCUUCCACCCUUACUAACACUGCGCUGACUGCCUGUUCUGAAGCCGCCAAGUAUAUCAGAAGUUCUUCUCCUUUUAUGGGACUGCUGAGCACAUGAGGCGAGCUGAGAUAUUUCUUAAGCUCUGUGAAGGCUUUUCGGCAGUCUUCUGUCCAUUCAAAGUUCGGUACCUUCCUCAACUUUUUGAAAAAUGGCAAGCACUUUUCUGCCGACCUCGACAUGAAUCGGUUGAGCGCCACUACUCUCCCAGUUAAUCUCUGGACGUCUCUUACACAGGUCGGCUCUGGCAUGUUCAAUAUGGCCUCCACCUUCUCCGGAUUGGGUUCCAUGCCUUUUCCGCUCACCAUGUACCCCAAGAACUUUCCUCCCCUAAUGAAGAAGGCACAUUUUGCUGGGUUUAACUUCAUUCUAUAUUGAUCUAAUACUCCGAAUACCUCCUUUAAAUCUGCUAUGUGUUGUUGGAAAGUUGAACUUUUGACCACCAUAUCAUCCACAUAUACUUCUACAUUUCUGCCGAUCUGGUUUUGAAAGAUUUUAUUCAUCAACCUUUGGUAGGUUGCCCCGGCAUUUCUCAAUCCGAAAGGCAUAGCUCUAUAACAGUAAGUUCCAUCUUCAGUUAUAAAUGAGGUCUUUUCUUCAUCCGACCUUUCCAUUGGGAUUUGAUGAUAGCCAGACAUAGCAUCCAAAGAAGACAUAUAAUCGAAACCGGCCGUUGAGUCGACCAUUUUAUUGAUAUCGGGGAGGGGGUAACAAUCUUUAGGGCAGGCCUUAUUUAGGUCAGUAAAAUCUAUGCACAUCCUAUAUUUGCCAUUGGCUUUUUUGACUAACACAGGAUUUGCCAACCACUGCGGGUACAUAACUUCCCUGAUAAAGCCUGCCUCCUCUAGCUUCUGUACUUCUUCCCGGGUGGCCUGCUGCUUUUCUCUUCCUACUACUCUCUUCUUCUGCUUUACUGGCCUGGCCUCGGGGAGGACAUUCAGUCUAUGUGUCAUCACCUCAGGGUCAAUUCCUGGCAUGUCUGAGGGCUUCCAUGCGAAGGUCGGCGCGUGACUUCGGAUCAGGGUCAUGACUUCGACUUUUUGUUCUUCAGUGAGGCCGGCAUUAAGACUGAAGACCUUAUUUGCCUCUGCUUCUGACAAAGGGAAGGUCUCCAAUUCUCCAACCGGCUCUGUCCGGGCUUCUUUUGUCUUAUCCCUGACCUCUAGAACUUCCGAGUCAAGCGCUUCUCUGGUUGAGCUUGGUUCUGUUACUGUGGCCAAGUAUACUGCUCUUGCUUCUUCCUGGCUACCCCGGACUAUUCCCACUCCUUCCUCUGUUGGGAACUUGAGUGCCAAAUACCUGAUGCUAGUGACAGCUUCGAAAUUGAAUAGUGCCGGCCUCCCCAGGAUCGCAUUAUAGCUCAAUGGGAGCUUGACCACCAAAAACACCUCAUGAUGGGUGCGAGCUCUGGGCGCUUCACCUAUGGUAAGGGCCAGCUUUACCUUUCCCUCUACAAGCACCGGUACUCCUCCGAUCCUUUUGAUUGGUGACUGGUCUCGAACCAGCUGUUCUUCUGGAAUUCCCAUCUGCUGGAAAACCCGAUAUGGCAGUAAGUUGACUUUACUCCCAUCAUCCACCAGAACUUUCUUCACCCUAUAAUUAUGAAUGACAGUCUCGAUGACGAGCGCAUCAUCAUGGGGCAUCUGAAUGCCCUGAGCAUCUUCUGGGGAGAAGGUGAUGGCCAUGGGAGAGUGUUCCACGAUCUGCAUGAUUUCACCACUGAUGGUCUUUCCUUCCCGAUUUCUCUUCUUUCCUCGGCGGCUCAUUCGUCCUCCUGUUCCUCCAACGAUCAUGUUGAUGGUCCCGCUGGAUCCAUCGUUCACUGAUCCAGCUCCUGUUCUCCUAGGCAUCUGAGCCGCCGGACUGGGUUGAAGCCUCUGUCCCUCCGGUUUUUUCACAAAAUUCUUGAGGUGCCCCCUUUUUAUUAGCCUCUCAAUCUCCGCGAUUAACUGGAAACAGUUAUUUGUAUCGUGGCCAUGCGUCCGAUGGUACUGACAAUAUUUGUCAGGGUUCCUUUGGUCUGCUUCUGACUUCAUGGGCUUGGGCCACUGGAGAAACUCCUUAUCCUGAACUGCCAUAAGUACUUCGGCUCUAAAGGCGUUGAGUGGGGUCGGCUUCUCAGGGACCCAAGGGGGGGGCGACCUUGGCUCAAGGACCCGUGGAGGGGGAGGCCUUUGAUCCCUUCGCUCCCAAGCCUGUUUGUACGGCUCGGGCCUCUUGCCGUGUUUCUUUUCAUGCUUCUCCGGCCUCCUUUCUUCUGAGGCUUUUUCUUUUCCUGUCAUCCUUUUGGCAAAUCGGCUUGUUACUAAGGCGUCAUCCUGCCUUAUAUAUUUCUCCGCUCUCUGCAUCAGCUCAGCCAGGGAGGUCGGAGGCUUCCUGCUCAAGGAACCGAAGAACUCGGCAGAGGUCGUCCCCUUUUGCAUUGCCUCUACCGCCCUUCCUUCAUCGAGAUCGGGAAUCUGCAUGGCCUCCGUAUUGAAGCGAGCGACAUACUCCCUGAGUGAUUCACCCUCUCUUUGCUUUAUUGUUUCCAAGUAGCUCGUCUUCCUCUCUGCUGGUACCCCGGCUAUGAAUCUACUGAUGAAGCGAAUGGCUAGGUCUCCGAAACUUCGGAUACUUCCGGCCUCAAGGCUGUUGAACCAUGCCCGCGCUGGUCCCGAGAGCGUCGUUGGAAAUACUUUACACAUUAAGGCAUCUGACAGAGUUUGCAGCUCCAUAAAGGUCUUAUAGUUCAUGACGUGCUCCCUCGGGUUACCAGUUCCGUCAUAAGCCGCCAUUGAUGGCAUCAUAAACUUCUUAGGGACAGUCUCUUGCUGCACCCACUUUGAGAAAGGGGAAGAAGUAGGCAAAGAGGUUUGGCUUUGGUCUUUCUUACCUAACUCGGCUAGGAGCUGUUCUCUCAAUUUUUUCAACUUUUGGUCCACCUUCUCGUCUUCUGGGCUGGGUUUUUUCUCCAGGUGGUAUUCUUCCUCCUCUGCUUCAGUUCCCGUCCACCCGGUUAUUUCGGCGGAAUAGUUAUCCACCUCCUCAUUUUCUAUCAUCUCUCUUGCCCUCCUCGCAUGGAUUCGGGCCUCCGGUCCUUCUUCUUCGCCGUCUUUUCUUCCUCUUUCUUCAGUAUCGCGGUUGCUGGUUUGAAGAUGGUCAGGUGCAGGUCGGGGGUCAUUGGUCUGAGGUUCCUCUACAAUCGGGAGUGUAUUUACUGGGGUGUUGAGGCCUCUUUGUUGCAUUAUCUGCCCCAACCAGUGGGCGGUAUUCUGUAGCUGGAAAGCCAUGUUUUGAAGGUCUUGGUUAGACAAGGUAACAGUGGGAGUAUUCCCUGCCAAACUUGGCGAGGGAUUAAGAGGAACAGGUGUUUGGUUGUUUAAUGUCGUAGGACUAGAAAAGGAGAAUUGUUGCCCCUCUUGGGCAGAGCUUAGGUCAUUUGGGACGUUAAGGUUACUUUCUUGGUGAUUAGCCAUCGUGGAUCUCAGUGGGUUUCUUUAAGAGUGAGAACUCCGGUGAUGAAAAGAUCUCCGUCGUGUCCCACAGACGGCGCCAAUUGAUGAUCUGAGAUCCAAUAGAAUAGGGUUUUACAAGGGUUUUUGUAUUAGAAAAUCAAAACUUAAACUUUCUAGGGAGGGAGCUCCCUUUUUAUCUCUUUCGUCUUGCUUGCUGGUGACGUAUCAUGGCCUCUCCAAGAUUGGGCCACACGUCUCUGCCAUACAGAUUUGGGCGUACGAGGGUAUCAGGCGCCUGCUCCAUGCGUAACGGCCUCUGAUUCUCCCCGUGCGUACACUCAGAGCGGAUCUGCCAGGUUGUCUAGAGAAUAUCCUUCUGAACCCUGGGUUGGGUCGAGAGUUGGGCCGGACACUGAGCCCGAUAGGAGGGGGUCCCCUGUGCACGGACUGGGCCGAUCUAAAUGAGGAAUCUCGGUCGAGUCCGGCUUUGAAGGUUGAGUGAGUCGGGCUUGUUUUGCGCAUCAGGUACGUGGCCUUUCGCUUCGUGGGCUUUUGACUGUGGCUAUGGCCCUGGACCGGGGUGAAGAAAUCCAUCGGUCAUCAGUUCUCAUUUAUUAUUUCCCAAUUAAAUAAAUUAUUCACUUAGAGUACUUUCGGCAAAUAUUUAUUAACUCAUUUACAUACUCCAGUUUUUUAAUCCGACACAAAUUGAAGGCUACUCACUUUUUCUGAAAUAAUAAUUUAUGAGUAAGGUUAUGAGCAUAAUUUGACAAUUAUUAAAUUAAAAAUUUAUUUAAAUUUAUGCAGUUACUAUAUAUAUACCUCAAUUAAUUAUAUAGAAAUCUCAAUAUAAAUAUUUAAUUUAACCAUUAUUGAUUUUAUUUUUAUAUGAAAUUGAGUUUGUAUUAGCUUCUUAAUGUGCUCGUAGUAUGUAUUGAAAAAUAAAAUUUAAUAGUUUUAAAAAAGAUUAUUAGAAAAAUAAAAUAAAAUUUAUCAAUUGAAAUAUAUUACCUAUAUUUUCUUAACUUAUAUGAAAAAAAUAUAAAACUAUUAUUGCAAGAAAAGAGGGUAUAAUAAAAAUCAAGUUUAUAUAUUAUAGAUAUUAAGUUUACUUUGAUAAUAUCUAUUAUUAAAAAAGAAACUAUACUUAUUAUAAUAUAUCAUACAUAAUAUAAAAUAUUUUGAAAUUAUUUUAUAGUGAAAUUUUUUUUUAAAUGGAAAUUGGGAAUCGAGGGAGUAGGAUCUAAAAUCUCUCAAAUUUAUUUAAAUACACUUAUCAUUAGGCUAAAUCUGAGUGCUUAUCGUGAAUCUUUAUAUAUUAUUUUAUAUGGAUAUAAAAAAAAUUAUUGAAUAUAAAUGUUAAAUAAUUUAAUUUUAGCAGCUAAUAUUAUGUGCUCUAAGAUAAAAUAAAAGGGUAUUUAAACUUAUUUUUUUGAAUUUUUUAGCUACGGCUUCUCACAUUACUCUUAGCAACUUCAAAUUUAAAUAUUAGAAGAUUUUUCAGUUAACUUUGCUUUGAUAAUCACAAUUAUUUAUUUAUAUCAUUGAAAUUUAAAAAAUAAUUUAAUUUUUAUAAUUGAUAAAAUAUUUUGUAUUAAUCAAUUCACUUAAAUGAAAUAAAAUUAACCUAAUACACCGCUAAAUAAUUUUAACAUUUACAGUACCAAAGGCUGAGCAAGAAAUCUUUUGAUGCAUUUGUUUCAAUGAUCAAUGCACUAUCACAGAUAAAAACGAGAUUCACAGUCCUUACAGGACAGAUUCUAAUCGAGUACUUCAAGGAACACUUGGUGGGUUUUGAAGAAGAAGCAGCAGCAGUAGCCGACAAAAGUAUCCAGUAACUGAUUCAUUGUCUGGUUCCAGACAGUUCAUGAGAAUGUCAAAACGAGUAGUUCUCAUCUCUCUCCACGAUCAUCAGCCGUCCUCUCUACUUGAUAUGUCACCUUCAUUCCCGUUUACCACAAUUUCUUUAAGCAAAUAUUCAACCAAGAACACCUCCCACGUCUCUCUAUUGCCAGGUGUUAUUCUCUUUCAUCUUCCUUCACCAAAUCUCUCACUUCUCUCAGCCUCUCCUCCUCCUGCCUGAAAUAAUUGACCAGUUUUGAUCCUAACUGUCUGCAUAAUUGAACUCAGUUUAAGUCCUUUUUUUUAUUCUUGCACUCAUUCUUUUGGUCAUGUGUCUUUUAGUUAAGUCCAAGGUACGUGUUUAAGCCUGCUGAUAUGGAAUUCUGAUUAAUAUUUUAGCUCCAUGAUUGAUUGCUUCAGCUUAAUUAGCCCUGUUGAUGAGUUGUACUUGGCCCCAUUACGGACUUGUCUGAAUUGGUUACAAAGAAUUAAGACAACUUCUUGUACUAAUAAUUGCCAAUAUUGAGAUUUAGAUAUUGUUGCAGAAGCUUGAGUCAAUGGUUUCUAGACAUUCUGAGUUCUUGUUGGGUAUAAAUACAUCUCAUUUGCCCUCUUGUCCUUUCAAGCGUCGAGUUUUUCGAGCUUCUUCUAACAGCUUAACAUCAAAUAAACACUCCCUAAUAGGCUAGCCAAGAACAGAAAUUAACAGGAACAUCAAUGGAGCCUAUUGGGGUUGCUCUGGAAGGAGAAUGGAGCUCUCUUAGUGGAAUGUACACAAGCGAGGAGGCUGAUUUCUUGGAACAAUUGCUUGGUAAUAAUGAUUCAAGUUCCAGCUUGGGAGUUCUAUCUUCUUUCUGGUCUAGCCAAAAAUCAGAAAUGAACAUGGCAGGAGGCAAUGGAGGUUUAGUUGAUACUAAUUUCUACAAUUUUUCACAAGGGAGUAGUAGUUAUAGUGGUGGAAGCAGUUCUCAGAGCUACUACUUCAGUGAUUCUCAUCCAGUCUCCAUCGCUAUGGAUUUUUGUGUUGGAGAUGUGACAAAUACUGCCUCGUAUCUCGUCGAAGGCGAUGACUGUUCGAAUCGAGAAAUGAGGAAUGGCAAUGUGGAAGAGUCUGGUGGAAACCAGCAGCCUGCAGCUGCUGAUCUACCUGUUAACUGUUUGCUGCCCAAGAAAGAACAUGAGAUGCUGGCUCCAGAAACAUCAACAGAAGAUAAAAGCAACAGCCCGUCUGAGAUCUCUAAGAAAAGGUCGCGAAGGGCAGGAGAUGUGAGUACAAGAAACAGAAUUUAGCAUUGUAUUUUUUAAUAGAAUGUGUAGGAAUUAGUUUCUAGAGCAUGUUCUAAUGGUGAUUUUUACAAUGUAGGUUCAAAAGAACAAGAGGAAUGUAAGGUCUAAGAAGAGCAAGAACUUUGUCUCUAGCAACAGCAAUGAUGAAGAGACUAAUGCAGGCUUUAAUGGGCCAGCCUCAAGCAGCUACUGCUCGGAGGAUGACUCGAAUGCAUCCCAUGAACAGAAUGGAGGAGCUAGUUCAAGUUUGAGCUCCAAAGGGACUUCAAUCCUCAACUCAAAUGGCAGAACAAGAGCCAGUAGAGGGGCAGCAACUGAUCCCCAGAGCCUCUAUGCAAGGGUAAGCUACCUCUCUUAGUCCUACAGCUCAUUGAUUCGAUAAUGGUAAUGAUUCAGUGAUCAUCUAGGCCAGUUAAUAUAACAGUAACUGAUGAAUCUUUGUUUCUUACAGAAAAGAAGAGAGAGAAUAAAUGAGAGGCUGAGAAUUCUACAGAACCUGGUGCCUAAUGGAACAAAGGUAAUUAAACCAUCAGCAAAUGUCAAUGGUUUUUGAAAUUCUUAACUUAGAAAAAUUUACAAGAUUGAAUCUUUAAAAUUGCAGGUUGAUAUUAGUACAAUGCUAGAAGAAGCAGUUCAUUAUGUGAAGUUCUUGCAGCUUCAAAUUAAGGUAAGAACAAAGAGGAUCUUUCUCUACAUGAACAUUGUCAUUUGUUGAAUAUUUCUGACACAAAAUUUUCAUUUUUGUUGUUUUUUUGAAUUCUGUAGCUGCUAAGCUCUGAUGAUCUGUGGAUGUAUGCCCCCAUUGCUUAUAAUGGAAUGGACAUUGGCUUGACUUGAAGCUCAGCACACCAAGAUGAUGGUUGAAAUUAAAAAGAGAGUGGUGAUUUGGGUUUUAUUAAAAAAUGUAAAAAAAAUAUUUCUGGAGAAGAAAGAGUAUAAAAAAAAAAUUAUAGGAAUGAGGGAGGAGAGAGAAAGUGACAUGUGGCGCUUGUAAAAUAGGAUAGACUUCUUUUUUAAAGAAAAAAUAAAUUUUAUUGGCAGUAUGUCGGGUGACAAGUUUCGUAGUUAUAAAAGAAAUUAAUAAAUUAAUAAAUUAUUAUCAUUUUCAUUAUUUUAAUUUAUUUUUAUUUAAAAUUUAAAUUUUACAUAAUAGUAAAAUAAAGUAAUAUGGGCUUUUUAAAAAAAUUAACAAAAUAAUAUAAUAAAUUAAUGCUUUAAGAUAUUAAAUUAAAUUAACUUUUUUAAAAGCAAUUAUUAAUUGAAAAAACAAAAAAAUUAUAAUUAAAAUAUUUAAGUUAAAAUAAAUUAUCAUGAAAAUUUAAGAGAAUUAAAUUAUUAUAUUAUUAAUUUUUUUUUUAAAAAAAAUUUAGUUCUUUUGAAUUCUUUUAACUGUUAUAACCGACUGCUGCAUGUUCCGUGAAAUAAACCAUUGGCAAAGCUAUACUUUCAACACAAUCGUUGAUCAUCCGUACAAGAUACACCCUCGGCCACAGAAAAACAAAAAAUUGGAUCAUUCUGUCCAGAAGCCGUUAAUGAAUUACAUAAUCACCAUAUAAAUUAAGUGGCUAAAUUUAGGGAUGAGAAUGAAAAUAAAAAAUAUUACAGCCACAUCCCUAUCAAUCUGCCUCAAAUCCAAUCUCUACUUCAACUGUUAUGCAUGUUACUGUUCCAGUAGACAGGACAUCUAAUCUGCACCUUUCUUUUAUUGUCUAUAUACGUUACAGAUAUAAAAUUCAGCCUCAACUUUUACUCCAAAAAGGAAAAGAGUAAGGUAUGAACCACAUGAAUCCUUAAAGAUCAUUAAUGGAGCUUGUCAUUUUCAGGCAUGUGCGUUGUUCACAUGACUUGGAACUUCUGCGUGACUGUCCAGUGGCAUGUAUUGAGCCAUGAUAGCUCUGAUUUCAGAAUCCAUGUAAGACUGCAAAACCAACAAAGAAUGUCAAGACUGGAACUUUUGUGUUACAAGAUACAGUAUAGAUAUUCCUUUUUUCGAUAAAACAGUACAGCCUGGUUGUGGUUUUCGAAUACGACUAAACCCAAAAACACAAGUUUCAGGCCAAGAAACCAUAUUGAUUGGAGUUGCUGUCACAGAUAUAGCUGAUCAUAUGCAGCUCCAACAACAGGCAUAACUAUUAUACUGCAUUCAUUAGGUCGACUUUUUUUUCUCCGAAACUAUAUUGGAAGUCUAUAGGUUAAUAAAUAAUAGUGUCCAACUUGGUCAGCAUUAAAAGUAAAUGCUACAAUACUACUAGUCCUAGUAAUGUGGCAACAUAGGUAGCUUCAAUAAAAAGGAAUCUUGGAAGGGAGAUCAGUAAUCAGGUGAGAGUAUCGUCAUCCAACCUUUUUUGCAUUAAGAGGCUGCACUUAGGCCUUCGCCUCACAACAUCCUGGUUGCAAAUUCAUGACUUGUCAUUGAUGAGUAACCAAUUGUCUUUUCUCCAGAUUUUUACCUCAGAUAUUUCACGGAUGACUGACAAUCAAUCCAGUUUCCAUAGGCCAAAUGGACCUACUUUUUCCUUAUGCUGCUUCUAAACAUAUCAUAGCACUAAACCUCAUGACUACAUUAUUAUAACUCGUAAGUAGCAAUCAUUAAGGUGAAAUUUAAAUUAUACCAUCAUUAAUUUAUAAGUCUUAAAAUAAUGUAUGUGCAGCUUAAGAGAGAGAAACACAACCAAAAAUAGAAAAAGAAAUGAAUAUUAAGGGAAAAAAAAAGCACUAUGCUUACCCUCAGUCUAUAUUUGUAGAUGAGGUAUCCUCCAGCAGUAGCCAUUCCCAAGCCUAUCAAAAUGACCCAGAAAGCAGCCCAUGCUGACCGUACUUCAGUGUGUAGCUUGCCUGACAUUAAACAAAGUGCUAAUAAGCACAGUAGUAUUUAUGUUUCUAGAAGGACUAGUUAGAGUUAUGGUCUGAACGCACUUAUGCAGGCAUCAUGGUCUCUAAUGUAAAGAAGAUCUCCACUGCAAGUGCAAUCGUAGCUACCCCAAGUAUUUUUGCAGCUGCAUUCACUGCACUGACAGGCUUUCUUCUCUUUGCAUUCAUCAAUAUCUGCAUAGUCAAUAAGAAGUGACAAUAAUAUUUUUAAUCAAGACAGUUGACAAUCUUGCUGUUUCUCUUUGAUAUGAUUGCAACUGCAAUUCAGGUGGACAAAAUUGUCUUGACAAAACACAAGCUCACUAUUCAAAGCAUUCUAAAACAAAUUGAUGCAAUUGGAGCAUCCUGAUUGUCCAAAAAUAUUUAGGUUUUUCAAAUUGAAACAAUGGCCUUGUACUGAAAAUUUUUGCUUUAUGGCUAUAAAAAUACUGCUGACUGGGCAAUUGGGGCUUUUUGCAAAAUUAGGGGUGGGAGAAAACUUAUUUGUGGAUUUAGGGUUGGAGAUAAAUUAUUUGCGGAUUUGGGGUUGGACUGCCACGUGGCAGUCAAAAAGAAAACUUGCCGCCUGUUUAACAGGCGCCAGGGCCUGGCGCCAUUUAAAAUGGCGCCAGGCAUUAUUUUUUUUUUUNNNNNNUCUUUUCUUUUUUUUAUUUUUUUUUAUAAAAUUAUAAAAUAAUAUUAUUAUAUAAUUAAAAAUUACUCAUAUUAUUUAACAAUAAUAUUAUAUAUUAUUUAAAAUAUUAUAAUUAUAUUAAUUAAUUAAUAUAUGAGUGUAUAAAUAUUUAAAAUUAUAAAAAUUAAAUUUAUUUUUAUUAGACUCGUACAGAAUAAUAUUAAUAUCCUAAUAUUUUAGAGAAUUAUGAAAUAUACCAUUCUAAGUGGCGCCAGGCCAUUAUUUAUUUUAUUUAUUUUUUAUUUAUUAAAAUAUUAUAAUUAUAUUAAUUAAUUAAUAUAUGAGUGUAUAAAUAUUUAAAAUUAUAAAAAUUAAAUUUAUUUUUAUUGAAUUGCUAUUAUCCAGUCGUAAAUAAUAAUAUUAAUGUCCUAAUAUUUUAGAGAGUUAUGAAAUAUAUUAUUAUAUAAUUUGAUAACUGCCGGAUUUUUCUCACUCUAAGGGAAAUUAAACCCGAAAAAGUGAAAUAGGUCUAAGGUCUCAGAAACCCACUUUAUUUAGCCGGUCCAGCAUAUUCGGUCCUGAUCCAGACACGGGACAGAUCGAGUUGCCUGCGAGUUUGGAUCCAGCACGAGGAGUCCAGCCUUGUGAUGUGACUUGAAGGACAGCAAACCCAGUCAAUUCGCAGCUCUGCUCGCAUGCGCGCUGAAGAAAUUAAAUAACCGUCUGACGUGAAAAGAGUCUUGACAUUUCCGUACUAACAAUCUAAGUAGUUUCGGUUGUAAUUAAAUAAUAUUAGAUAUUUUUAUAAUAAUAAUUUUUUUUAUAAUUUUAAUAUAUUAAUAUUGAAUAAAUUUUAUUAUUAAUUUUUAAAUAAAAAAUUACUGUAAUUUAUAAUUUCAUAAUUAUAAAAUUAAUAUUAUACUGCAAUUAGAUAUAUAAAAACAAUUCGAUUGUAAUUAGAUAUAUAAAAAUAAUUUAAUAAUGUUAUAUGUAUUUAUUUAAUGAUAAAAAUUUUUAUUAUUUUAAUAAAUUAAUACAAUAAUAUUAUUAUUAAAUAAUAUCAGUAAUUUUUUAAUUAUAUAAUAAUAUUAUUUUAUAAUUUUAUAAAAAAUAAAAAAAAAAUAAAAAAAAAUAAAGAAUGGCUNNNNNNNNNNNNNNNNNNUUACAAAAAAAAAAAUAAUGCCUGGCGCUAUUUAAAAUGGCGCCAGGCCCUGGCGCCGGUUAAACAAGCGGCAGGUUUUCUUUUCGGCUGCCACCUGGCAGUCCAACCCCAAAUCCGCAAAUAAUUUAUCUUCAACCCUAAAUCCACAAAUAAAUUUUCUCCCGCCCCUAAUUUUGCAAAAAGCCCGGGCAAUUGAACAACUAAAUGUCUCUAAAGUUACUGCGAGUGAACUGUACAUUUGGGCCGAGAAUCACUGAAGCUUACAGGAUCUUGUGCAAGUCAAAAAGGACCAGUUUGAAAUUCCAAGAACCCACUAAUGAAGUAUCAGAAGAGAAUUAAUUUAGGAACUACAACCAUUGUAGACUUAGGAAGUUUAGAGUUUUAUUAUUAUUAGAUUUACCAUUAUUUUCUUAAUUUAAAUUUGCUUAGGAUUUUUAAUUAGAAAGAUAAGGAUGCAUGGUUCUAAUGUAAUUAAGGUUACAAAACUCCACACACAGGACUAGAUUCUUUUAUUUAUUAGCUCUGAUUAUUAUGAUUAUUAUUGAUAACUAAAUAAACUUAUCGAGAAUUUUCUCUUCAUUUGUAAUCUUCUACUCUUAAUUUCUUACUGUUCUACUACAUUCCUCGUCCUAGGACCUAGGUGUAGUACCAUCCUAUUAACCAAAAACUACCAUAAGGGCAAAAACAUCCUCACUGGGAAGGGAAAUAACAUCAGGCAUAAAUUCCCGAAUAGUUGGAGGACAGAGAACUCUUAUUGCAUCCUCUUGAAGAAUAAAACAAUAAAACACACUCCUUUUGUAUGCCCAAAAUUUAUUCCGUCACAACAUAGAGCGACUUGUUUUGUCAAGACAUAUGACCCAGAGUCAAACACCAUACUCAUGUACCUUGAAUUAUUCGUUCAGAAUCCUAGUCAAAGUAAUUGCAUAAGGAGUAUGAAUGUUCAAUCUCUUACCUUCACAACUUUGCACACCAUCACCUUUAAACCCAGCAGGGCACUGGCAUUUACCACCAUCAUUAUCCUGUUUAUUAGGAUAGUCAGAAUCUGCAAAUGAAUUUAUGUACUGGAUAAUAAAAUUAGAAAAAGUAAUUGAACACUAACCGAACAAGCAGAGAAGGUGUGUCCAUUUUGAGAUUCAUGCCAACAGCCUCCAUUAUUUAUCUUGCACCUCCCUGGUCCACUCACUGUGAAAUGCAACAUAGUUUAUUUGGAUAUAACACUAAUAUAUGAUCGUCACUCACCUAUGAUUCACUUACUUUUUCUCUUUUUUUUUUAACUGCUUACGAACAUUACAAAGUUUUAUUAUACAUUUAGACAAUAGUACUCGGUGCUUAUUUGAAGCAAAAAAAAAAAGAAAAAGUCAUAGUAAAAUAUCUACAAGGGAAAAAGGAAAAUGAGCAACAUGAAUGAAUGAACGUGUCUCUAAAUUUCCAAUUGCCCACUUGAAAAUUAAAAUUUAGAACUAACAGAAAAGAGAACAUGAAAUUAGGAACAAAAAAAAAAUGAUUCUAAUGACUAAACAAGGUCGAGAAGUUUUGUCCAUUCACAUUUAGUUUCACUAGGAUUUAACAGCCCCACUGACAACCCAAAAAAUUCAAUAGUAUAUGUGCAUCUUCAAUUGGAAAGAUCCUAUAAACAUGCAUCAUAAAUCUGCACUAAUAAAAACAAGAAGCAUUAAGAUAACCUUCACAAUGGCUGUAACCAUCUCCUCUGAAAUGAACACCAUCAACCAAGGGGCAUUCACAUACUCUCCCACGAAAUGUAUCCUGAACAAAUAAACACCACUGUCAAUUAGAUAGUAUAGACAAACACAGAACCCAAUAUCCAGAAAAAAGCACAGAGAUAACUAUGGUAGCAAGUUUUUAUACUCACCUUGCAAGCUGUAAUGUUGGCUGUUUUAUCUUGCCAACAACCCCCAUUAUUGUUCAAGCACUCAUUUGUCUCAACAUCUGCUCAGAUUCACAAUAAAGAAUAGCAAGUCACAUAAGAAAAUAAUAAUAAUAAUAAUAAAGAAUAGCAAGUCACAUAAGACUGCGACUACCCAACAUUAGUUGCAUAAAAGCACUGUGCUAGAGUUGUGACUAUACGUCAUCACCCGACCAUACCUUUUUACACUUAGAGCAUGUUCAGCAUUGCUGUUGCUAAUAGCAAAUUUUACCAAAAUAUUUGAAGGGAUUCUCUUUGAUAAAUGGACAAUAAAUUUCAAAGUGAUUUUCAUAUGCCAAAAGCUGAUUUUUAAAGAAAGAUUGUAUUUGAAACUUUUGCAAAUAGCUAUUGGAUUGCAUCAAUAAACUUCCGCAUAUAGCUGUUCAUUCUCUGAUUCAAAUACUUGUUGUGCAUAUUCGGUAGCUAUUUUAAAUAGAAAAGCCAAACAAGCCCCCCCUAUUGAGCACUCUCAAGACUGAACCUCCUCUAUAUGAGCUAAUAAGUUUUCACAAAAAUGAGUCUUAUAAUUGCACCAUAGUGAUGUUAAUUUUCACCAAACAGCAUAAGAAAACUUACCACCGCUCAAACAAAUAGCAGGCUCAGUGGUUUCUUCAAAACCAGCACAUAUAGCUUUUAGAACAGCACCUUUCCCCAACCUUCCUGCAAGCACAUGUAUUUGGUAAUUGGAUAAUAAUUAUUAUUAUUAUUAUCAUUAUUAUUAUUAUUUUCAUUUAAGAAACAUAGGCACACAGUAACAGACCUCUAUAUUGUCGAUUGUUGACAACAAGAGUGGGCAAUAUGGUUACAUCACCCCUUGAUCCUUUCCCAACCUAUAUAAAGAUCCUUGUCAAGCAGCUAUGCAUGGUUGAAAUUAAUAUCUGAAGGUCCAAAAUUAUGCAGAGUGGCAACAAGAGUACAAACAUAUUGAAGACAAAAGUAUUGAAACUUGUAAAGCAAAAGUAUAUAAACUAGACAAUUACCUGGGCAUCUUGCUCUUCUCUCAAAACAGGAUUAUCAGAAUCAGCACUUGGAUCUCCCAUACACUUAUCAACUUUUUUAACAUCAAGCCCUAUGCACAUAUUAGAUCAAUUAAAAGAAAUCAACAAUUAUGGGCACUAUUUCAUUUCAAAGAUACAAUGAAGAUAAUUUACCAAGGGUUCUGAUGACACCAUCAGCACAUUUCUUGUUGUACUUCUUCUCCUUCAUAGGACAUCUGAUUUGAAAAUCUGUCACAUAGUCCCACCAAAUCCAAGGUCUUCUGCUCUCAUUUGCAACUCUAAAAACACAGAGUUGCCUUAGAUUUUCAAGAACAACAUCUUUCCCCUCAUAACCUGUGCUGAAAUCCUGUUCAGGAUCAGGAGCACAAUAUCUUCCAUGAUUUAUGCACUGGGACUUGCACUGUCUGCUCAAGGUAAAUGCCUGGGGACAGUACCAAGUUAUAUAAUGAGGUGUGAACUGGGUGUAACCACCUUUCUCAAGUAUCUGGGCUGGACCCCUAAAAUCCUUCAGGAAUUGUAUCAACAUAUCACAUUUUACCCCACAUUCAUCAUUGCUGUUGGUCCAUAGCUCAUACUCUACACGAUCAUCAGGGUGUGGAACAGAUUCUCUCCAAUCAAGAUUCACGUUUACCAUAUCACCGCUGGUUAUUGCUUUCUUUAAUGUUUCACCAAAGGUUUUCUCAACAAGUGCAGAUGGUAUUGUUAUGUUCUCAAUAUAUUUUGCAGAUGAGCCAUUCUCUUCAGGUGAAUCCAUUGUUAUCAAUGGCUCCUCAAUGUCAUCUGCAACAAGGGCUGCAGAAGCCCCAGCCUUCUGGGCAUUCCAAACUUUCAAAGCAAAGAAGCAGUCUGAAAAGCACCAAAAUCACUCAUUAGUAAAUUAGCAGAAUGUCUGCACUUUAAAACUCAGUAGGAACUUCAUUUUGUAAGGAUUCACGCGAGUAAAAAUCCACUCAAUCCAGCUCUGUUCGCCACAAGUGUGUGUCUGUGUGUGUGCAGAAUCUCUUUGCUCAUUCUGAAACAAUAAUCUGUGUAGAAGUAGAUUCACAACUCAUAUUUGUAGGAAUUAUAACAUUGACAUGUACAGAAGCAAAUAACCUACUACAGAAAGGUUCAGGCUCCCAAUUCCCAAAUAUAAUCUCUCACGGUCUCUAGACACUAGUCAAACCAAACUUUAAAAUAAUGGGAGUCAAGCAAGGAACUUGAGUUAGAUAGUGACAACUCAUUCACCUAUGAUUUCAUUCUUCACUCAAAAGACUACUUAUCAUAGUUCAGCACAUCGCUUAUUUUGACAUAGGUAGAUACCACAAACUGCAAUAGAGAAUGACAAUUCUAUUACAGCAAUUCAACAUAAAGCACUGAAAUAAGAGGAUCACCAUCACGCAUAAAUGAAAGCUAAGAAUAGAAAAUCUUUAAAUGCUUGAAGAGAAAAUUAGCUUUUACCCUAGUGGACAACCAAACAUGAAUCUUUCUCGGAAUUGUAUAGCUUGUUCAAGAGAGCCACAAAUAUCCUAUAUUGCCUACCUCAACCAAGUAAAAUGAGAUGCAGCACAUUUAUCAACUUGAUGAAAAAGCUCAAACAGGUGGUUGCAAAUUGCAUUCAAGAACAAAAAAAAAUCUCAAUUAUACCAAUCAAAUGCAUUUAUCUCAUGCAAGCCACAAAAAUGGAAAUUAGAACAACCAUUACAAUAAUACACAUGAAUUCAUAUUUUACUCAUAUGCUAAAGCAACAGUAUCCAGGACAAUCAAAUUUAAGAUCAAAUCACAUUACUGGUAAUGCUUAAUCGACCAAAUGAAAACUACUAUAAUCUCCCACCUCAAACAAUGGAUUUUAACACUAGUGGGAAAAUUGACCAUAAGAACAGUUUAAAAGAAAAACCUUAAAAAUAUUAGCAUAGGAAGCAAAUAAAAAGGAAAAAGAAUCAGAAGGAUAUAAUCAUAUAACUAAAUAAUUAAUCAUCAAUUGACUACUGUGUCAAGACAUCAAGUCAACUGCACCAACUUUCAAAUGAGGAAAUUCCAAUCAACCUAAAAAGUUUUAUUCCACAAAAUAAAUUCCUCAUAGAUCAAAAGUCAAAACUAUAAAGAAGCUGAACCUUGACCAACAGCACAGGAAAUCAAUCUAAAGAUUUAAAGUCAAUAGAUAACCACCAAUAUCAUAAACAAUGACAAAGAAAAUACAAGAUGCAGACAAAUAAUUUAAUUUAGUUAACAAGCAUCUAAGACCUCAAAACCCUUAUCAUCUAUCAAUCCAAAAAGAUCAUCAACUUUAAAUAUUAGUCUUAUAAGGGUGGCAUUAACUAUAAAUUAGAAGACGAACCCAUAUUAUGAAUCAGAUUGAACAAAACAAUAAUAAAAGUACCAUCUGAUCAGCGGAAAGAGAAAAAACAGAGGAAAUUACUUCAAUUUAACCACCCCCCAAAAAAACCAAAAAAAAAUAAUUCUUCAUCAAGCUCAUCAACAAUGCCCCAUGACUAUUUUCUCACUCACCCAAAAAAAAAAAAUAAUAAUAAUAACAACAAUGAUAUACUUUAAAUCUCGCCAAAAAUUAUAUAUCAAAUAAACCGAGCUAAAUAUACGUGCUCAACCAAUAAGUAUAAAUAUAAACAAAAACUCAGGAUCAAAACUCCAAAUACACAAACACACACAAUUGAGUCACGCCUACAGAUCACUAAAACGGGAUUAAAAACAAGCAAAUUCAUUCAAAUUUGCAAAACGAAAUCCAGCAAAUAACAAAAUCAAACCACAUACCCCGUAAGAACUCAUUUAAAAGAAUCGAAUUGGUCAUUUUUUUAAUUAAAAAAAAUUAUUGAGUCAAAUGUACAAAAACAAUCAAAUUAACAAAGGGAGUACCUCCACGAUCGAGCAAGACGAAAAUCGGUAAAGCUCCAGGCUUAGACUUGAAAGAAAUCCCAAAAUAAUCAAACUCCUUACAACCCUUUCUGUUUUCUUUAGGGUAAAUCACAACCCCUGCCAUUCUACCCCCAUAUUGCGGUAUCCCAAAAUUCCCUAUUGCACUAUCAUAUGUCCCCUUAAUUGUGUCCGGCGAUGUCACCCUCAAGUUGUUGCUUUCCACCACAAAUCUCGCUAGAGAAUUAGGAAUCAUCAAAUACACAAAUAAAAGACCUAGACAGAGUCUAAAACCUGGUCUUCUUCUGAGCUCCAUCUCGUCCCAAAACAAUUUCUCAAAAGAACGAUAAAAAUUUUCUGGGUUUUGCUUUUUCAGAUCAAUCGAUUGAGCUAAACAAAUAAAAAUGAUUUUCUGGAAGCAUACAACAAAAUUUACAAAAAAAAAUAAAAUCAAGAGGUCAUUUCUGUUGUUAGCUUAUGUUUAGGUGUUUUGGGGAACAGAAUCCAAGAAAUGGGGUAGUUUUCUUGUUGAUUGGAAGAAAUCUUGCAUGCCAGAUUUAUCGUGGAAUAUGGGUAAAUGAGUAUUGGUUCUGUUUCUUCGUUUUGAGCUGCGUGAAGCAUGCUCGUCAGUCUUCUCCCUGUUUUUGUUCUUGCUUUCGCUAUUUCAGUUCCACAGAGACACAAGGCAAUGCAUAUAAAGAGCAAAAAUAAAUUAAUAAUAAUAAAUAAUCACUCCAAAAAAAAAAAAUCAUGAAAUGACCAUAUUGUCCCAUUAUUACAACACACUUCCAAAUUUAGAUAAAUUAAAAACAAUAUUAUCUUCUUUUAAGCAANNNNNNAAAAAAAAAAAAAAAAAAAAGAAAAAUCUAUAUCACAUUAAUUGAAUUAACAAAAGGAAGAAUUCCUUUAAAAAAAAUUUUCCUUUGUAUAAUCAAAAUUCUUUUUUUGAAAAGACACAGUAAAUAUUAACAAUUUUAAUAAUAUUAUAAAAAUAUUAAUUUUUAAUUUUAAUAAAAGCUAAUGAAAAAAAAUUAUUAUUUAAUAUUUUUCAUCCACAAAAAUACACUUAUUUCUAUUUUUCACCUAGAUUAUGAAAAGUUAGUUAAUAUUAUCAAAGUAAUGAAUUUUGUUUAAAUUUUUUAAUAUACUCUCUGUCCAUAUUAUUGUACAAAAUUAAAAAUUUAAGUAAUUUAUAUUAUUAAAUUAUUUUUAAAAUAAAAAUAUUAUUUUAUGUAUAUUAAAUAAAAUAUGUUAAAAAUUAAUAAAUAAAUUAUUAUUACUAUUAUAAAAAAAUGAAUAUAAUUUAAAAUCAAUUUGCGAAUGAAUAAAAAAUAAAAAAAUAUAUAUAUAAAAAUAUAUAUAUAAUUGAUGUGGUUAAUAUUAGUGAUGACGCAUUUGGAAUGUGACUAUACUAUGAUGGAUCGAUUAGAACUUGUGAGAAAGAAAAUAUGAGUCGAUGGUGUGUUUAUGACAAUUAUUUCGACGCUCAAAUAAAAAUAGAAAAAAUAUAAUAAAUUAUUUAGACUUUUAGUAUUAAAAAAUAUUAUAUUUUUAUUUAUGUGAUUUAUAUUUUUUUAUAUCGUAAGAGAAAAAGAUAAAUAUGAUUUUUUUUUUUUUGAUAAUUUAGUGAUGAUAUGAUCGUUUGUUUGAUAUAGGAUAUCAUCAGAUGAAAAUUUUAUGAUCAUAAGUGUAAUAAAAAUAUAUAAAAUUAUGCCAGAUAACAAUAAUUUUACUUGGAAAGUUGUUUUGUUAAGAGAGAGAGCAAAUUUUUGAAAAUGAUCCAUAAGUAAUCCUAACCUGUAGUGACACUUAUGAAAUAUCAAUAAUUAUAACACUAAGAAAAUUAAAAAAAAAAUUGAAUAUAAAAUGUAUUCAAAAAAUAAUGUGUAAAUUACUAAAAUACAUAAAGCUAAUCCCAAAAUGUUAUAUUUAUUGAAUUUGAAUAUCAUAUGGUGGAUCCAAUGGACGAGUAAGAUUUGAUAUUUCGUGUGUAUGUAAGACAGUGUUAUAUGAAAUUAAAACCUAAAAAGAAUAAUAUUUUUCUUAAUGAAGAAGGCUAGUGGCAAAAUGGUAAUUAAGGGGAGUAGAAAAUUUCAGUUAUGUACCCAAAGUACUUGGUAGUACCCCCAAAAUAGUCAACACCGGUUGUCCUUUGACAGCCACUUGGCUUUCAAACCUCCACUAUCAUCGAAGAAAUUAUUUAUUUAUUUAUUUUUUAUUUUUUUAAAAACAAAUUAUAAAUCAAACAAAAUCACGUGCGAAUUGCUUCAAUAAAUUUUACUAAUUUUAUAUUCACUCCGUCGAAUAAUUUAUUCAUUUUAAUUUUUUACAGAUAUUUAAAAAGUAAUUUUUUUAUUAAUUUUUUAAUUAUAUCUAUUUUAAAAUAUUAAAUUUUAUUAAAUGAUAAUAAUAAAUAUUUUCAUAAUUAUAAUAAAUUGUUUUAGAGAUAAAAUAAAUAGUUUAUUUAUAAAUUUGUAUAUUUAAUUUAUAAGCAUAUUUAUUAUAAAAAUAAUUAAAAAAAGUGUAAGUUAUAUUUUUAUUACAUUGUAAUUUUAAAUUUUUAAUAAAAAUAACACAAUAAUUUAAUUGGUCAAAUAAAAUAUUUAUAUAAGCAUUAAAAUAAAAAAUUAAGAGACCAACUUAUUUCUAUAUUUAUAAAUUUGUUAUACUGUUAUCAACAAAGAGAUUAUUUGACUAGUUUAUAAGUUAAGCUCAAUAUUAAUAUAUCUAACUUAAAAUCUAAAAUAUAAAUUAAAAAAUUAAAAUAAAAUCAAAAAUAAAAUAAUUAUACAAAGAGUUUGAUGGCUCUAACCGGAAAGUAAAACUAUGUUAAUGAAUAAACAAUUAGAUUAAUUUAUUGUCUCAUUCAAAAUAAUAUUGGAAUCAAUCUCAAUGUACACAUCCCUCCUAUUAUAAUUUCAAUGCUUUCUCUUAGCCUGAGCAGGGAUGGACCCAUGUUGGGGUCAAGGAGGCCAUGAGUUCCCUGAAAUUUUGAAAUUUUUUUAGAAAUAUUAAGUAUAAUUUCACAUUAAUAUUCUAAAAACUUAAAAUUUUUUUUCUUUAUUUUUUUCUCAUUUUCACGGCAGCCCUCAAUUUCUCAUUUUCUUUCAUCUCAAUUUUUAUCCAAUAAAUUUCAUUUUAAUUUAUAAAUUUUAUUUUUUCAAAUCCACUAUCCAUUAUCCAUCUUCCUCUCUUAUUGACAGUGAGUUAUUUUCUUAUUUUAUUUUUUUACAUUAUUUUUUGUUGUUAAGAAUUAAUUUAUAUUUUUUAUUUAUUUCAUUAUAUUAUUAAUUUAUUAUUAUUUAUUUCACUUAAUUAUUAAUACUAUUAUUAUGGAUAGUAAUUUAGUCUAUAUAAAAUUUAAAAAAUUGUGUAAAUUUUAAAUAUUAUUUUUAUAGAUAAUAAUUUAAUCUAAUCAAAAUUAGUAAAAUAGUAUAAAUUUUAAAUAAUAUUUUUAUGGGUAAUAAUUUAAUCUAAUCAAAAUUAAAAUUUUUUUAUAAAUAUUAAAUAUUAUUUUUAUGGAUAAUAAUUUAGUAUAAUAAAAAUUAAAAAAAUUAUGUAAAUAUUAAAUAUAGUUUUUAUGGAUAAUAGUUUAUGUCUAAUUAAAAUUGGAAAAAUUAAAUGAAUUUUAAAUUAUUUUUAAUGGGUAAUAGUUUAAAUUUUGGUCAAAUAUGAUUUGAUGGGUGAAUUAAUAAAAUAUUAUUUUAAAAAAAUAAUUUUUAACAAUAUGUUGAAUUAAAUUAUUAAUGUAUUUAAAUUGUGUGUAUUAUUAUAGGGAUAAAAUAAUUUUUUAAAAGAAUAUCAACAAAUGCAUCGUUAUCAUCAUCGGUGAAUCAAUCUAUUCAAUUAACUUCACCUAAGUAAGUAACUGUUGAGAAUUGUGAAGUUGAUAUUGAAAACAUUUCAUCUGAUCAAGGAUUUCGACCUAACAUAAUGAGGUAUUCUCCUGAUGUUAGAAAUCAGGUACGCAGAACUUACAUACUAAAAAGUCUGUGUUAACUAUGCAGUCAUAAAUUUCCUGAAAGAGUAAAUGGAAAUCAAAAUAGAAGAUUUAUUGUGUAUUAGUUUGAUGAAUUUGGGAAUUGGUUAGAAUAUAGUAUAACUAAAAAUGUUGCAUAUUAUUUAGCUAUUUUACUCUGUCAUGAUAUGCUGAUAUGCAGCUUCAAGAACUUAAUAAUCGUUUUGAUAAAGUGAAUAUAAAUUUGCUUUUAUGUAUGGCAUGUCUUGAUCUUAAAAACUCAUUCUCUACCUUUGAUAUGAGCAAAUUGAUUGAACUUGCAAAAUUUUAUCAAUGUGAAUUUUCUACGGUUACUCUACUUGGACUUUAAUCUCAAAUUGAGAAUUUUAUCUUUAAUAUGCAUAUGGACAAUAAGUUUUUUGAUGUGAAAGGAAUUAAAGUUCUUGCUAAAAAUAUGGUAAACUACAAGAAAGCAUAUCAUAAUUCCUUUAAUGUAUACAUUGGUUAAAUUAGUAUUAUUCUUACCGUCAGUUAAAUGGACAUUUUAUGCAAUGCAUAUUAUCAAAAAUUGACUCCGCAAUAAAAUGGAAAAUGAUUUAUUAAACGAUUAUUUGGUAACUUAUAUCGAAAGAGAUGUAUUUAUAAAUAUUGAUAAUGAAGAUAUUAUGAAUAGAUUUAUUUACUUAUCAACUUUUUAUAAUGUAUUUUUUUAAUGUAUAUUAUUUUUUAAUUAUUUAUUUAAUUUGGAUUCCUCACCAAAAUUUCUAGAUCCAUCCCUACUACUUAUAAGCAAACUCAGAAAAAUUCUCUAUUGAAAUGUGAAAAUAAAAAAAUAAAAGAAUUUGCAGCUCAAAUUAAGUACUCAAAGAUGGCAUUUUAAUAAAAUUUUCAUUAAACAUAAUUAAUGCAAUAAGUUAUUUACCCUUUAUCUUUUUUAACUUUUUUAUUUAUAAGUCAAUAGAGACAUAUGAGUUAUUAUAGCAAUUACUGCUCUUAUUUGUUAUGAUAUUAUAUGUUUAUUUAUGUAGUUUUUUUUUAUUUUAAAAGAAAAAUAUAUUAGUUAUUGGUAAAUUUAAGUGACUUUCGGUCAAAAUUAAAUUAAUUUAAAAUUAAAUUAAAUUCAUUAUUUUAUUUUUAAAUUAAAAUAAUAUUUUUUUGUUUAAAUUUCAAAAAAACUAUCUUUAAAUCUAAUUAAAAUAUAAAUUAAAUCAAUUUUUAGAAUAAAAAAUUAUGUAAUUUAAUUUCAAUAUUAAUAAAUUAAAAUUGAUACGUAGCUAUUCUAAGUGAAUGUCAUUAUCUUGCAGAAAAAUUAUUGUGAAAUUCCUGAAUUUUAGCAAAAUUAAUUAGUCAGUCUUUAUAAUUCUUCAGACUAAUUAAAAUAUUUUUUAUUAUUUUAAAAUAUAACUAUUUGGUAUUUUUAUUGAAAAUAAUUGAGAGAUUCUAUCGAUUAUUGAGUAAAAAGUCAUAAUACCCUUCUUAAUUGAGAAACUUAACUCACUUAAUAAAUUUCUAAGUAAAAAGCCAUAAUACCCUUCUUAAUUGAGAAAUUUAACUCACUCAAUAAAUUUCUAACCCACAUUUGUCUGUGAAACCAUUCUAUCAUUGUCACUUGCAUACUCAUCUUCAAUAUUCUCACCACCAAUAUAUUGAAUGAAAGGAUGAGAGCUUUGACUCUUUCCUAAACUUUGUUGUAUGCAACGCAGGAAAUUAAAUCCUCCUUCAUGCUUUUCUUUUUUUUGUUGAUUUUGAUUUGAUUCCAUUAAAAGACUCAAAGAAGUUGCGGAGAGUUAACAUUGCUUCGGCUAAAGAAUUCUCAAUUGGUGCUAGCAUUAAAUGAGAUCUUUCUCUGUUUUUAGUUCUGGUUAGCAGAUUAUCCUCUUCAAGGUUGUCUCUUGUGCUUAGUUAAUCUCUUUUAUGACUUUUUUUGUCGAGAAAGGAGAUUGAAGAUCGUAAAAAAAUAGAGAACAAAAUUAGUUAUCUAAACAAAUAUGAUACUGAAAUUAAAUAACAUAAGGGAAACAUUAGAUAGUUAAAAAAUAUAGCUCAUGGAAACUAACAAUAUAAAUUUAAAAACUAACAAUUUUAUUUAGAAAUUGUGGCAUGACAUAUUUCACUACAGAAAUAAUGACUCGACGCCUUUUAAAUAGACAUUAUAAAGAAACUAGUAAAAUAUCAAUAAUAUAAGUAAGAAAAUAUUAUCAUUACACUAAACAUGCCUCGGCUAAACAAUAGACAAAGAAAUAGACCUAAAAUAUCUAAAUAAAAAUUAGCUAACAAAGAUCAAAUCAAACUAAUGUUAGACAUGUGCUAAUUUUGAAUGAAUCUUCAACACACCCCCUUGAUUCAAAAUUGUACACUCCAAGCUGAUUUCUGCUUCUUGAAUAUUACACCUUUCAAACCAUGAAAUAGGAUUAAAGAUAUUAUAAUAAUCUACUCUUUAUUGUCGUGAAUAAUCCUUCACCACGAGUUGAGCUUUCCAUUUUUGAAUGCUACCAUCUGGUUAAAACUUUAUUCAAAAGACCUAUUUAACUCCAAUGGCUUUCUUUUCUUUAAAAAGAUACACCAAUUCCCAAAUUUUAUUCCUUUGAAUUGCUAUAAUUUUAUCUUUCAUAACAUUGCGCUGCUUUUCUUUCUCCACUGCUUCUUCACAAGUUAUUGGAUCAACUACAAACUAUACAUGUAAAGUCUCAUAUAUUUCAGCUAUUGAUUUGAAUUUUUUUGGAAGAGUUUCAUAUUCAUAUGAAGAUGAGCUUUCUGAAAUUGGAGAAAUAGCUUGUUAUAUUUGAAAAGGUGGAGUAGCUUGUUGUAUUUCAACAGGUAGAGAAGUAGCUUGCCGUAUUUCAACUAGACUUUCAAUCUGUACAUUGUCUGAAUUUUUUUGCCAAGGUCAAUUUGCCUCUUCAUUAAAAAUACAUUCAAAUGUUUAUAACUUAAAUGCCACAAUAUGGACUCACAAUUUUUUUUGAGAACAAAAGCAUGAUUUUCAUCACUAAAGACUUCAAGAGAAAACAACUUAUUUUUUUGACAUAGAGACAUUGAUAAUAAUCUCAUAUGACUUUUUAUCCCUAAUCACACAUUAUUCAUUAUCAAAUAAUAUAAAAUAUCUACUACCCAUGAGUUUCCUAAUACUAAACAAAUUUUGUAUUAAACUUAGAAUAAAACAGACAUUGUAUAAAAGCUUCACAAUAUCAUGACUAUUUUUAAUUGUUCCGGUGCCUUUGCUUUCAACUUACAUCUUGUCAUUACUCUUAUCGUUACCUUGUAUGACUCAUCAAGCUCCUUAAAUAACGACUUUAUGUCAAUCGUGUGAUUAAAGUAUCCACUAUCUAAAAACUAGAUAUCACCUGAGUUAUUUUGAUGUCUUGAUAAGCCAUGAAUAACUUUACCUUCUCUUCCUUUUCUACAUAAUUAGCUUGUUGUUUUCAUUUUCAGCAAUAUGCUUUUACAUGCCCAUAUUUUAUUUUUAUAAUAAUAGCAUUGAAUAAUGCUCCUAUUAGUUUCUUGUUUCUUUACUUUUUUACUCGUGAUGCUUAUUUCUUUGUCCAUUACCUCUACCAUAGUCACCUUUGCCAUGGCCUCUUCUACCUCGGUAUCCUCCUUUUCCACAUCCUUUACCAUGAAAGGUAGAUCUUUAUUCUUUUUAUUUGAUCUGUACAAUUUCACUUCAGGAGAUUACAAGGAUCCCAUUAAUUCAUCAAAUGAGUAUGUAACCAAGUUUUUAGACUCUUCAAUGACUGCUACAACAUAAUCAUACUUUGAAGUUAAGCUCCUCAACACUUUUGCAAUAACACUUUGAUCCAAAAUUUCUUCUCUACAGAAUCUCAUUUGAUUAACAAUUACAACUACUCUUAAAAGAAAAUAUUACAUUGUCUCUCUCACUCUUCAUUUGUAAGGUUUCAAAAUCACAACAAAUUAAAGGACUAAAGUUUAAUCGUGAUUACCUUAGAAGAGUCUUGGUACUGUCUGUAAGGUCAUCCAAGCAUGUUUAGCAGUGGUUGAUAUUGCAAUUUUUGAAAAAAUUACUCCUGCACAACUUGUUGAAUAAAGAAUAAUGCUUUGGAAUCCUUCUUAAUUUCUUUCAACCUAACCUCUUCAUCUGAUUCAAGAUAUCAUUUCUCAACCAAAUCUCACAAAUCUUGAGACUUAAACAGAGUUCUCAUCUUGACACUCCAUAAUUUAUAGUUUUCAGCUUUAAAAAACAGGAAUUAAUGGUUGGGAAAUACUCAUAACAUUAUCAUUUGAUGUCAUGAGUUUAUACCCAAUGUUUUGAACGAAUUAGGCUCUAAUAACACUAUUGUUGGGGAAAGGGGAUCGAGGAUUAUAGAAAAUAGAAGAUAAAAUUAGUUAUCUAAAUAAAAUGAUACUAAAAUUAGAUAACGUAAGGAAACAAACUAGAUAGCUGAAAAGUAUAGCUCACGAAAACUAGUAAUAUGGAUUUAAAAACUAAUGAUUUUAUUCAGAAAAUUACAAUAUGUCGUACUUCACUAUAAACUUAAUGACUCAAUGCCUUUUAAAUAGGCAUUACAAAAAAAAAAAGUUAAAUAUCAAUAAUAAAAAUGAAAAGAUAAGGAAAGAGAGCAUAUAUUUUUAGCAGAAGGACAUGCACGGUUUGUGGUACUACAUCUUGCUACAUCUCUUCAAGCAUUACGAUGGACAUUUAGCCCAUUUCAUUCCAAGUUUUUAAUUAAUUAAUUUUUUUAUUUUCUAUAUCUAUUUAAUUAUUCUAUGAUAAUUUUGAAAUCUAGAAAAAGAAUAAGAGAUUGAUUUGUAUUAUUGUGUGAAGAUUGUGAAAAGAAAAGUAGAUUUUGAAUACUUAGUAAUACUGAAGAGAGUUAGUGCCCAAUAAGUAUUGACAAAAUGUUUAAAAGGGUAUUUUGUGUUUCAUUGAGGGAUAUGAUAGGUUAUUUUUAGAAUUUAUAAUUACCAUCUCUCCUUCGAAUGAUCGAUUUCCCUUGACUAACGAAAUACAUAACAGAAGGACUAACUAAUUAUAUUUUAAAAUAAUGGAGGACAUUUUAAUUGGUUUUAAUAAUUAUAAGGACUUAUUAGUUAAUUUUACUGAAAUAUAAAGAUUCUAUAAUAAUUUUCCCUUAUAUUAUAUUUUUAGGUUACAUUAUUUCUAACACAUAUUUUGAUGUUAUUACCAAUAUUUACUUCAAUCAUAUACUGAAUCAACUAUACAAUUAAUUGUAAUGAUUUAAAUAAUUAGAAGUUUACUUGUUUUAAGAAAAAAAAUAUAUAUGUUUACACUCCUAAAAUUUAUCAAAAAAAUCUCACAACAUCCUAAAAUUUAAAACAUCCCAUUACACAAUUAAACUAUUUAAAAUGAAAUUAAGAUGGCAUCGGAAUCUCAAUUAAUAGGUAAUACAAAUAUUUUAAUAGUAUUUUUAGACUAAUAUGAAUUCAAAGAGAAUAGUUUUUUAGCAUAAAAAAUAUAGAAUGUGUUAAGUUAAAAUUUAUACUUUGUGUAUAAUUAUUAUUAUUACGUUAUUCACUAUAACUAAUUUGAGUUUUAUGAAUAUAUCUCAAUAUGUUUGUAAUUCAUACGACUUUAUAUUAAGAUUUUAAAGUCAUUUUAAUUAUACUUUUCAAUAAUUCAAGUAUAUAAUAGGGUGUUUUAAAAUUUAGAGUGCCAAAAUAGUCUUUUUUUUUUUUUUAAUUAAAAAUACCAAAAUAGCCUUUUUCUUUUUAAAUAAAAUUUAGGAUUUUAAAUACAUAUUUAAUAAAAAAAAAAAAACUUAAAAAAAAAAAAACUAAUUUUUUUAAAAAAAAAAAAAAUAAUAAAAAUAAAAAAAAAAAUAAAAAAAAAAUCCGUUUAACUUAGCCAAAUAAAAAACUAAUAAUUUAGUCAAAUUGAAAAAAAAAAACAAAUUAUGCUUUUCACAUAAUACUCUUAAAAAAAAAAAACUCUCUCUCACUCUCUUAACAAAUAAUACUCAAUUUAAAAAAAAAACUCUCUCACAUAAUACUCAAAUUGACAUGUCAAGAGAAAUUUUUUUUUUCUAAUUUAAUUAUUAUACGCCAAUUGGACAACUGAUUUCUUAUAAAAAAAGCUGUGUGGACUACUAUAUAUGAUGUAGUAUAAUCUUUCUAAUUUCAAAUUCAAUUUUAGAUGCAAUUCCUUCACCUUUUAAUGAAUUAGAUUAAUGCCUUAAAAUUGAAAGUUUUAGAUUAGAUCACGAAAGAGUUUAAAAAAUUUGAAUUUUACCAUCAUUAGAUCUUUUAAUUAUUACUACACUACAAUAAGCAUUAAAAUUAGUAGUAAAAAAUUUUAUAUCAAAAUUAUUUGUAACAACAUUAAUUUUGCUGUUAAUUCUAAUGUUUGUUAUGGUGCUAGUAUUUUGAAUGUGCAUUACACGUAAUCUAUAUUCAUUACAUAUAGUUAUAAUUUAUUUUUUUUUUAUAUAUUUUUAUUAUAAUAAUAAUAAUUAUUAUUAUUAUCCUUACAAAAUUAACACAUAUAUUAAUUUAAAUACUACAUGCAUACGACAUUACCCUCAAUUUGGCGACCUAUUGAAAGGGGUUUGUGUUAAGGAGUUUGUCUAUUAAUAGACAUAUUUUUUUAAUUCUUUCAUCAAGUUGAAUUGGAUCGUGUGAUUAAGAGUGGACGAUAGACUUUUGAUCAACAUAUUUUGCUUCUUAAGGAACUACAACCUAAUGAUCAGUCUAAUCUGUUAGAUCUGAGAUUGAAUUUUGAAUAUAUGUCUAUGAUUUGCCCAUUGAAUUUAUGACAGAGAAAAUGGGUGUUGUUAUAAAACUAGCUUGAUAGCUUGUUUAAAUAAGUACUAGCUUGAUAGCUUAUUUAAAUAAGUUGUGAGAAUGGAAAAAUUAUAAGAUUUUUUAAGUGUUUAUAUUGUGGAAAAUUUUAACUUAAACAUUAAGUAUUUUGAAGGGACAUUUUGGAAGGAUUUUAAAAUUGAUAAAUUAUAUUAUAAAUUAAAGACUUGGCACUUGGACACGUAACAUGUGGUUAAUUGAGACAAAAAUAUCAAAUUCAUAUUCUUCCUUAAACUUAACACAGAAUUGUUGUAUGUGAUUUUCUUAAUUUUGUUGUAUUUAAAGGAGUAUUGCCACAAUUCUACAACAAAUAUAGUGAAGGCAAUUAACUCUUGAAAGAAAGUAUGUCUUAAAGCCGAUUUAUACACCCACCGAUCUAAUAGGUGUUGCCAUUGGAAAUUAUGUUGGCUCGUUUAUUGAAUUGGAUGCUAACAAUUUUACAGUAGGUUUUUGUGCCUAUACGCAUAUCAGAAUAAAAUUGGACAUGCGUAAGCCACUUCAACAGCGAAUGAAGGUGCACAGGCUAGGGAAUGAUAGUUUUUGGGUGACUUUUAAGUAUGAAAAACUGCCUCAAUUUUGCUUUUAUUAUGACAUUCUUGGUCACUCUUAUCGCUUCUGCAUUUCUUUGUUUAACACAUAAGGUUGGUCGACAAAACUUUCCUUUUGGUGCUUGAUUGUGUGCUUCGACUAGGCAAUAGUAAGGUAUUGGUGACCGCUGGUUACGUACAUAUAUUAGGGCCUCAAAUUUUCCAUUGCACCCAACUUCACUUUGAAUACUGAUAGUGGACGCCGAAGCUGUUAUACUGAUAACAACCCACAUCAUACAAUUGCUACAUCUAAGGGUCAUGCAAGUACAUCCCUUCCUAGAUCUGUUAGUUACGUCAUCUUUAGUUUUGCAUGAUCCUUCCACUCUUGAAUAUGCAUUUGGUAUCUGAAUAUGAAGAUUGUUAGAAUUGAGAGUUUUUUUAAUGAAGGUUCCAGAAUAUUUAGUAAAUUAAUUAAGUAUAGAUGUAGUUAAUUCUAGAGAACCUUAGUUGUGUCUUAUCAAGCCACUCUUUUGUUGACAAGUGUAAAAACUAUAAUUUUGCCACUUAGAAUUUUCUGGAACCCUUGUAAUAUCUCUGUAAAUGUAUAUGUAAAGCAAAAAGAUGUUCUGAUGAUGAUGUAUGUAAGUGUGCUUUGAAAUAUAAGAGAAAAGAGUUUUCUUCCAGCAGCUGUGAGUCUAUUUUCUUUCAUGUCUAUGUUGUCUUCCUUUCUACUUCUUUAAUGUCAGUUUAUGUUUGAUCUGUUUAACUCCAAUAACAGUAUCAGAGCCCUUCUUCCUACGGGUCAUGUAUUUUCUGUUUGAGUUAUUAAGUCUUCCUCUGUUUUCUUUUUAAUUUCGGUGGUCUCUCAAAAUGUCAGCAAGCAUUUCCUCCAUUUCAGCUCCUAUUUUUACAGGAGAAAAUUUUGAUUUCUAGGCUAUCAAAAUGACAGCAUUCUUGAAGGCUCAUGAUCUAUGGGAGGUUGUUUCUACAGGUAGAGAACCUGCUCCAUUGCCCGCAGAUCCUACAUUAGCGCAAAUCAAGUAUCAUAAUGAUGAGAGUUCCAAAAAAUUUAAAGCCUUGACAUUCAUCCAUCAAUCUGUUUCAGAUGCAAUUUUUCCAAGAAUUUUGGGAGCUCAAAUAAGCAAGGAGGCAUGGGACAAUCGAGAGAUGAGUUCCAAGGAAGUGAAAGAGUUAGAUCAGUCGAACUUCUAACUCUAAAGAGAGAAUUUGAGAUGUUGAGGAUGAAGGAAGGAGAAACCAUAAAGCACUAUUCCUCAAAGCUAAUAGAGUUGGUGAAUCAAAUGAGACUUUAUGGUGCUCAAUUUCCUGAUAGCCAGGUUGUUGAGAAGAUUCUGAUUAGUCUUCUGAAGAAAUUUGAGUAAAAAAUUUCUGCAAUUGAGGAAUCAUGUAAUCUCAAGACUCUUAUAGUUACUGAACUCAUUAGCAAGCUUCAAGCUUAGGAACAGAGAUGCUCCAUGAGGAAUCAAGAAAUCAGUGAAUCUGCAUUUCAAGUGAAGCAAAAGGGGAAACCAACUCCAAGCAAAAAUGGGAAGAAAUUCAAGAGCAAAUCAGUUGAGAAUUCAAGAGAAGAUGCAAGAAAAGGCUAGUUCCCUCCAUGUAGCAUCUGCAAAAGGACAAAUCACUUGGGGAAAGAUUGUUGGCAUAAAGGUAAACCGGUGUUACAAUGUUGGUAUUGUAAAAAGCAUGGCCAUAUUGAAAAAUUCUGCAAAGCAAAGCAAAAAAAGGAAUAGCAGGAGAAGCAGCAAUCAACCCAACAUGCUAACUCUGUUGAAAAUCAACAACAAGAAGCUGAAGAGCAUUUGUUUAUGGCCUCUCAUCAUUCUUCUUCCUUUUUAAACAGCUCUUGCACAUGGUUUAUUGACAGUGGUUGCACUGUACACAUGGCCAAAGAUGCUGAUUUGUUCUCUUCUCUAGAUUCAUCUAUCAAAACAAAAGUUAAGUUGGCAAAUGGCCAACUAGUGCAAGCUGAAGGCAAGGGGACUGUAUCAAUAUACUCCAAGUCAGGUACAAAGUUUAUUUCUGAUGUGUUACUUGUUCCUGGCUUGAAUCAGAACUUGUUGAGUGUUGCCCAAUUAUUGAGAAAAAAUUAUUCUAUCUUUUUCAAAGAUGAAUCUUGCAUUAUCUAUGAUUCUACUGGUGCUGAGAUUACUAAAGUCACCAUGAUUGAUAAUUGCUUUCCAUUUGAUAUAACUAAUGCAUCUCAUCAUGUAUAUAAUGCUGCUGAUGUUGAUGUGAAGUUAUGGCAUAAGAUAUUUGGCCACUUUAAUUUAAAUGCCUUAAAAUCUCUCUUCAAUUGAUUUAGUCAAAGACAUGCUUGAGAUCCAUCUAAAUGAUGAUGUGUGCCAAGCUUGCCAACUUGGAAAGAUGCAUAGAUAAUCUUUUCCUGUAAAUCAAGCUGUUAAAGCUGAAAAAAAGCCGGAGCUUGUCCACACUGAUGUUUGUGGCCCUAUGUCAGUUCCCUCAAUGAGUGGGAACAAGUAUUUUAUUUUAUUUAUUGAUGAUUUUUCGAGGAUGACAUGGGUCUAUUUUCUAGGUGCCAAAUCUCAAGCAUUUUCUGUAUUCAAGAAAUUUAAAACUCUAACAGAAAACCAAUGUGACAUGAAAAUUAAGACCUUGAGGUCAGAUAAUGGCAUGGAGUAUAAUUCUUCAAAGUUUGAGAAGUUCUGUGAAUCAGCUAGUAUUCAAUAUCAAUUGACUGUGAGCUAUACACCUCAACAAAAUGGUGUCUCUAAGAGGAGAAACAGAACUAUUGUUGAAAUGGCAAUGUGUAUGUUGGUUGAGAAGAACUUACCAAAGCACUUAUGGGCAGAAGUAGUAUAGCUGUUUAUCUCUUAAACAGGCUUCCCACUAAGUCUAUUAAAGGAAUGACUCCAUAUGAAGCUUGGUUUGGUUGGAAACCAUCUGUUAAACACCUCAAAGUAUUUGGCUCUCCUUGUUAUGUUCAUGUUCCUGAUGUAAAGAGAUCUAAGCUAGAUGAUAAAGCUACAGUGGGAAUUUUCCUUGGAUAUGCUACAAAUUCCAAGGGUUAUAGAAUUCUUGAACCAAAAUCUAAUAAGAUAAUGGUUGCAAGGGAUGUGGUGGUGAAUGAGCAAGCUUUUUGGAAUUGGAAUAAGAAAGAGGUUGAGAUGCCUUCAAAUGAUUCUAUUGCAAGAAGAUCGCAAGAAGAUGCAAUUUCAAAAUUGCUUGCUUCCUAUGAUGAUGGAAGUGAUUCUGAACUUGGUUCUCCUAAUGUAAAAACCAAGUCAAUUGCUGAAAUUUAUGAAAAAUGUAAUAUGGUGAAUAUGGAGCCAUCUAAUUAUCAAGAGGCAAGCAAGUUUUCUGAAUGGCAACAAGCUAUGAAAGAUGAAAUGGCUAUGAUUGAGAAAAAUAAAAUGUGGGAACUCAUUGCCAAACCAAAGGAAAAGCAUGUCAUUGGAGUAAAGUGGGUAUUUAGAACUGUAAUACCCGGCUAGACUCCGGUAUCAGAAUUCCUACCGUCCGGUGGAAUCUCGGAUGUCGGAAGCCUCUAGUAGGGUAGAAACAUGUUUUCAUAAAAUGUUUUAAGGUAUUUCAUGGUUUUAAGUAUGAAAAUUUAAUGAGUUUUGCAUGAAAAGUCUUUGGAGGAAAACCUAGGUUCGGCCGCCGAAAGUCAAGUUCGGCCGCCGAACAUGCAUGUGUUUUGGAGGCACGUUAGGCCCCCGAAAGCAUGAGUGAGGGAAGUCCAGGUUCGACUGCCGAAAGUCAAGUUCGGCCGCCGAACAUGGCAUGCAUGCGAAGGCACUUUCGGCCCCCGAACGUGGCCUGGCCAGCCACCUAUAAAAGGGUCCCUUAGGUCCGCACGGGCGAGCUUUUUCUCCCCCGUCGUCGGCCAAGGUGAGUCUCCGCCACCCCUCCCUCGAUCUUGAGUGUUUUUUCCUUAGAUCUUCCAUGAUUUUCACGGGUUUUAAUUUCUGUUUUGAAGAUCUGUGAGUAAAGAGCAAGUUUCGGGUACUUGGAGGUUUAAAGAGCUCAAUCUCUCCAUCUCCAAGCUAGGAUCGCCUUUCCUCUCGUUUCUUCAAGAGGUAAGCUCGGAUCCACCCUUGUUUUGUGUUUUAAACAAGCAUUAAGUUGUUUUAUGGGUAGAGAUGCAUGUUUAGGCUUGCUGAUGAGUUUAUGGGUUUUGAUGUUUUGAUGAACAAUGUAUGUUGAUUUUUGUGUGUUUGAAGUGUUGUAGUUGGGGUAUAUGCUAGUUUGAGACCCCUAGGUGUAAUGUAUGAUAUGUAUGCAUGUUUUAGAACAAGUUUAUGCAUGAUUGGUGAGUUUGGAGGCAAAAAUGCAUAAGGGAGCCAAGUUUCUGCCCUUUGGCAGAAACCAGGUUCGGCAGCCGAAGGCACUUUCGGCCGCCGAACAUGGCUGGGGAGGCAGGCCUUUCGGCUGCCGAAGUUGCCCCCAAAAAGAGACUUUCGUCUCUGUCUGGGACUUUCGGCCGCCGAAGGUGCCGCCGAACAUGCAUGAGUUUCGCCUCUGUCUGGGAGUUUCGGCCACCGAAGGUGCCGCCGAACCUGCCUGACUUUCGGCUCUGGAGGGACUUUCGGCCGCCGAACCUGCCGCCGAAAGUGCCCUGUCCAGCCAUUUCUUGCAUGUUUUUAUGUAGUUGUUUUAUGAUGUUUUAGGGGGUUUUUGGGGAGUAUAUUAGAGUUAUGUUUAUGUAUGUUUGGUCCCUCAUUGGAGUCCACCUGUGUAGGUUCGGACCCGAGGAACCGAGGAC
rnacentral:lncRNA from 1 species